ACGGAAGGUCCAGGCGUUAUCCGGAUUUAUUGGGUUUAAAGGGAGCGUAGGCUGGAGAUUAAGUGUGUUGUGAAAUGUAGACGCUCAACGUCUGAAUUGCAGCGCAUACUGGUUUCCUUGAGUACGCACAACGUUGGCGGAAUUCGUCGUGUAGCGGUGAAAUGCUUAGAUAUGACGAAGAACUCCGAUUGCGAAGGCAGCUGACGGGAGCGCAACUGACGCUUAAGCUCGAAGGUGCGGGUAUCAAACAGGAUUAGAUACCCCAGU
rnacentral:rRNA from 1 species